AAGGCGCGCGAUACAGGGUGACAGCCCCGUACACAAAAGCGCAUGUGCUGUGAGCUCGAUGAGUAGGGCGGGACACGUGGUAUCCUGUCUGAAUAUGGGGGGACCAUCCUCCAAGGCUAAAUACUCCUGACUGACCGAUAGUGAACCAGUACCGUGAGGGAAAGGCGAAAAGAACCCCGGCGAGGGGAGUGAAAAAGAACCUGAAACCGUGUACGUACAAGCAGUGGGAGCACCCUUUGGGUGUGACUGCGUACCUUUUGUAUAAUGGGUCAGCGACUUAUAUUCUGUAGCAAGGUUAACCGAAUAGGGGAGCCGGAGGGAAACCGAGUCUUAACCGGGCGUUAAGUUGCAGGGUAUAGACCCGAAACCCGGUGAUCUAGCCAUGGGCAGGUUGAAGGUUGGGUAACACUAACUGGAGGACCGAACCGACUAAUGUUGAAAAAUUAGCGGAUGACCUGUGGCUGGGGGUGAAAGGCCAAUCAAACCGGGAGAUAGCUGGUUCUCCCCGAAAGCUAUUUAGGUAGCGCCUCGUGAAUUCAUCUCCGGGGGUAGAGCACUGUUUCGGCUAGGGGGCCAUCCCGGCUUACCAACCCGAUGCAAACUGCGAAUACCGGAGAAUGUUAUCACGGGAGACACACGGCGGGUGCUAACGUCCGUCGUGAAGAGGGAAACAACCCAGACCGCCAGCUAAGGUCCCAAAGUCAUGGUUAAGUGGGAAACGAUGUGGGAAGGCCCAGACAGCCAGGAUGUUGGCUUAGAAGCAGCCAUCAUUUAAAGAAAGCGUAAUAGCUCACUGGUCGAGUCGGCCUGCGCGGAAGAUGUAACGGGGCUAAACCAUGCACCGAAGCUGCGGCAGCGACACUGUGUGUUGUUGGGUAGGGGAGCGUUCUGUAAGCCUGUGAAGGUGUGUCGUGAGGCAUGCUGGAGGUAUCAGAAGUGCGAAUGCUGACAUAAGUAACGAUAAAGCGGGUGAAAAGCCCGCUCGCCGGAAGACCAAGGGUUCCUGUCCAACGUUAAUCGGGGCAGGGUGAGUCGACCCCUAAGGCGAGGCCGAAAGGCGUAGUCGAUGGGAAACGGGUUAAUAUUCCCGUACUUGGUGUUACUGCGAAGGGGGGACGGAGAAGGCUAUGUUGGCCGGGCGACGGUUGUCCCGGUUUAAGCGUGUAGGUGUGUGUUCCAGGUAAAUCCGGUUCACUUUAACACUGAGGCGUGACGACGAGGCACUACGGUGCUGAAGCAACAAAUGCCCUGCUUCCAGGAAAAGCCUCUAAGCAUCAGGUAACAUCAAAUCGUACCCCAAACCGACACAGGUGGUCAGGUAGAGAAUACCAAGGCGCUUGAGAGAACUCGGGUGAAGGAACUAGGCAAAAUGGUGCCGUAACUUCGGGAGAAGGCACGCUGACACGUAG
rnacentral:rRNA from 1 species